UUACGGUCAUAUCACGUUGAAACAACGGUCCACCAUACUAUCACCGAAGUUAAGCAACGUCGAGCCUGGUCAGUACCUAGAUGGGUGGCCACUUGGGAAUACCAGGUACAGUAA